UACAGAGGGUGCGAGCGUUAAUCGGAAUUACUGGGCGUAAAGCGUGCGUAGACGGUUAUGUAAGUCAGGUGUGAAAGCCCCGGGCUCAACCUGGGAAUUGCAUUUGAGACUGCAUAGCUAGGGUGCGGAAGAGGGAAGCGGAAUUUCCGGUGUAGCGGUGAAAUGCGUAGAUAUCUGGAGGAACACCGGUGGCGAAGGCGGCAUCCUGGACCGACACUGACGCUGAGGAGCGAAAGCCAGGGGAGCAAACGGG
rnacentral:rRNA from 1 species